UAAAAACUUCUGCCAAGAUUGCUCCCAGUGCAGUAUACCUGUGUCUCGCGAGUGCUUAAAAUAUAAAAUAAAUGAUACUAAUUAUAAAGUUGCUUCUCUUGAGCUUUAUGGGAAUUGGAGAUGGAGCCCGCAUUCUGGCACCUUUCUUCUCACCUACACCAAGCCAUUAUAUGAUGACAAAUGCGAUUAUAAGAGAACUGGUAAAACGUGGACAUGAGGUCACAUUCAUAACUCCGUUUUCGUUGGCCAAGGAAAACUUGGGGCCAAACUAGAGAGAAAUUCUUUUGCGCCAUUAUGACUCAUGGGAAGAUGUUUCUGCAAAGAUGAAUACAAAAUCGGCGCUGGAUAUGAUUGACUUGUCAGGGAUGACGCACAUGCGUCUGGCCCAACACAUUGGUAUCCAAUCAACGGAUUUUGCACUGGCCCAUCCGGGAGUUCAGGAUCUAAUUCACGCCAAAGAUAAGAUCGGUAAAUUCGAUCUUAAUUAAUCUAAUACCCUCUACACACUGCCGCCUUAAAAUACUCUUAUACCUUUUUUAUAAUCGCCUUUUUUAACAAUUAGAACAUUUGUUAAGAUUUAAUUUGGUGUAUCUCAUUAAAUUCUAGCAAUUAAUCUUAUCAUAAACCAACAAAA